rnacentral:rRNA from 1 species
GAUGAACGCUGGCGGCGUGCCUAAUACAUGCAAGUCGAGCGAACAGACGAGGAGCUUGCUCCUUUGACGUUAGCGGCGGACGGGUGAGUAACACGUGGAUAACCUACCUAUAAGACUGGGAUAACUUCGGGAAACCGGAGCUAAUACCGGAUAACAUGUUGAACCGCAUGGUUCAACAGUGAAAGACGGUCUUGCUGUCACUUAUAGAUGGAUCCGCGCCGCAUUAGCUAGUUGGUAAGGUAACGGCUUACCAAGGCAACGAUGCGUAGCCGACCUGAGAGGGUGAUCAGCCACACUGUAACUGAGACACGAUCCAGACUACUACGGGAGGCAGCAGUAGGGAAUCUUCCGCAAUGGGCGAAAGCCUGACGGAGCAACGCCGCGUGAGUGAAGAAGGUCUUCGGAUCGUAAAACUCUGUUAUUAGGGAAGAACAAAUGUGUAAGUAACUAUGCACGUCUUGACGGUACCUAAUCAGAAAGCCACGGCUAACUACGUG